GAAGGCUUUCUGCCCUUGAGGAAAGCCAAGACCAUUUCAUCUGGCUUCUUUAUAGCCUGUAUUAUUGUGCCUCUGCCUGUUAAAGCCGUCUGCCAGCCCCACUCUCAGAGCCCCGAAGCUGGCUUCGGGGAAAGACUGGGGGGAAUGCCGGGGAGACCCAACUCCACAGAUCUCGCCUGAUUGAAGAAAACUUCCACAAACUUCCACCUCCUGUUCGAAGAAUGGAUCUGAGCCUGCUCUCCCUCCUCUAUCCUUCAGGAGUCUCUGAAAGGGGACCCCUGUGGAGAAUCGGACCAGAUUGAGCGGGGGAGGCAGUCGGAGGGUCCACAUAACAGUCAAAGAGGCUUCCGGCAAGUGGGACGAUCUCUGAAAGUCAAUGGACAUGAAAUAGAGCCUUGAGGUCACGAAGGAAGAUUUUUAAAAAUGGAAUGGAAAGGGGAAAUUUCCAGAACAUGGAUCCCAGAGAAGAAGACUAAUAAAGCAAAAUGAAAGGAGAGGAUUGAGGGGUGGGAGAGCCAAGAAUGGGGAGAGGAACGAGAGUGCAAAGUAAGGGAAGAAGCGCCUGCAGAGCCAUGUCUUGGCCCAGCUUGGCAGCAGGGCUUCCGGCAGACGCCCAGAACGCACGCCAAAUGGUGUUCUGUGUCUGUCGUUUCAAUAAAUAUCACCUCCCCUUUUGUUCCCUUCUUUCAA